AUUGAACGCUGGCGGAAUGCUUUACACAUGCAAGUCGAACGGUAGAGGGGGCAACCCCUCGAGAGUGGCGAACGGGUGAGUAAUAUAUCGGAACGUGCCCAGUCGUGGGGGAUAACGUAGCGAAAGUUACGCUAAUACCGCAUACGAUCUAAGGAUGAAAGCGGGGGGACCGUAAGGCCUCGCGCGAUUGGAGCGGCCGAUAUCUGAUUAGCUUGUUGGUGGGGUAAAAGCCCACCAAGGCGACGAUCAGUAGCUGGUCUGAGAGGACGAUCAGCCACACUGGGACUGAGACACGGCCCAGACUCCUACGGGAGGCAGCAGUGGGGAAUUUUGGACAAUGGGGGCAACCCUGAUCCAGCAAUGCCGCGUGAGUGAAGAAGGCCUUCGGGUUGUAAAGCUCUUUUGUCAGGGAAGAAACAGCAGCUCUAACACAGUCUGCGAAUGACGGUACCUGAAGAAUAAGCACCGGCUAACUACGUG
rnacentral:rRNA from 1 species